CAACCUGCCGACAACACUGGGAUAGCCUUUCGAAAGAAAGAUUAAUACCGGAUGGCAUAGUCUUCCCGCAUGGGAUGAUUAUUAAAGAAUUUCGGUUGUCGAUGGGGAUGCGUUCCAUUAGGCAGUUGGCGGGGUAACGGCCCACCAAACCUACGAUGGAUAGGGGUUCUGAGAGGAAGGUCCCCCACAUUGGAACUGAGACACGGUCCAAACUCCUACGGGAGGCAGCAGUGAGGAAUAUUGGUCAAUGGACGAGAGUCUGAACCAGCCAAGUAGCGUGAAGGAUGACUGCCCUAUGGGUUGUAAACUUCUUUUAUACGGGAAUAAAGUUAGCCACGUGUGGCUUUUUGUAUGUACCGCAUGAAUAAGGAUCGGCUAACUCCGUGCCAGCAGCCGCGGUAAUACGGAGGAUCCGAGCGUUAUCCGGAUUUAUUGGGUUUAAAGGGAGCGUAGGCGGGUUGUUAAGUCAGUUGUGAAAGUUUGCGGCUCAACCGUAAAAUUGCGGUUGAUACUGUAUGUCUUGAGUGUACAAGAGGUGGGCGGAAUUCGUGGUGUAGCGGUGAAAUGCUUAGAUAUCACGAAGAACUCCGAUUG
rnacentral:rRNA from 1 species